GCUGGGUAUGGUGGCACACACCUGUAAUCCUAGCUACUCAGGAGGCUGAGGCAAGAGGAUUUCAAAUUUGAGGACAGCCUCAGCAAUUUAGUAAGAACUUGCCUCAA
rnacentral:sRNA from 1 species